rnacentral:tRNA from 1 species
GCAUGGGUGAUUCAGUGGUAGAAUUCUCACUUGCCAUGCGGGAGGCCUGGGUUUGUUUCCAGGCCCAUGUA